rnacentral:rRNA from 1 species
AGUGAUAAGCAUUACCACCUUGUAGCCUGAUCUUAUCAGAUCUCGGAAGUUAAGAAAUGUUGGGCCAGGUCAGGACUUGAGAUGGGAGACCUUUAAGGAGAAGCAGUUAUUGCCAUUG